GAAGAGCGGAGCGUGUGAGCAGUACUGCGGCCUCCUCUCGUCUCCGAACCUCGCUCUCACGGCCUACUUUUACCCGCCCGCCUGCUCGGCGCCCAGAACACCUUCCACCAUGACCACCUCAGCAAGUUCCCACUUAAAUAAAGGCAUCAAGCAGGUGUACAUGUCCCUGCCUCAGGGUGAGAAAGUCCAGGCCAUGUAUAUCUGGAUUGAUGGUACUGGAGAAGGACUGCGCUGCAAGACCCGGACCCUGGACAGUGAGCCCAAGUGUGUGGAAGAGUUGCCUGAGUGGAAUUUCGAUGGCUCUAGUACUUUGCAGUCUGAGGGUUCCAACAGUGACAUGUAUCUCGUGCCUGCUGCCAUGUUUCGGGACCCCUUCCGUAAGGACCCUAACAAGCUGGUGUUAUGUGAAGUUUUCAAGUACAAUCGAAGACCUGCAGGUGUGUAUAGCACAGCUAUGGAUGCCCCUCCUCAAUCUGUGAAUGUUGUGAAGGGGAGGGAGAAGACAUUCUGAAAUCAGUAUUGGGAAGACUAGGCAAUUUCAGGACUAUUUUAAGAAUCUGAAUGAUUCUCUUCCCUGAACUUCUGCUUUGAGGAAGAGAUAAUAUGGCCCAUCUUUCUAUGGUCUUCUCUGUUGGUUGCAUAAAAUAGCAUUGGAUUUGUCCAGAUCUGUUUGCCGGUCUUGGAGUCCCCAGUAACAGCCUUCCUGCCUGGAAUGUAGGCCAGGACAAAUGUAAACCAGUGGACAAAUGUUUCUCAAAAAUUAUAGAAUGGCUCCAAGUGCCUGAGAAAUAA
rnacentral:sRNA from 1 species